ACAGUCACACAUUAGAUACCCCGGUAGUCCCAGCCGUAAACUAUGCGCGUUAGGUGUAUCGGUGACCACGAGUUACCGAGGUGCCGAAGGGAAACCGUGAAACGUGCCGCCUGGGAAGUACGGUCGCAAGGCUGAAACUUAAAGGAAUUGGCGGGGGAGCACCACAACAGGUGGAGCCUCGCGGUUUAAUUGGACUCAACGCCGGGAAGCUCACCGGAUAGGACAGCAGAAUGAUUGCCGGGCUGAAGACCCUUGCAUAGACUAGCUG
rnacentral:rRNA from 1 species